rnacentral:rRNA from 1 species
GAUGAACGCUGGCGGCGUGCCUAAUACAUGCAAGUCGAGCGAAUGGAUUAAGAGCUUGCUCUUAUGAAGUUAGCGGCGGACGGGUGAGUAACACGUGGGUAACCUGCCCAUAAGACUGGGAUAACUCCGGGAAACCGGGGCUAAUACCGGAUAACAUUUUGAACCGCAUGGUUCGAAAUUGAAAGGCGGCUUCGGCUGUCACUUAUGGAUGGACCCGCGUCCCAUUAGCUAGUUGGUGAGGUAACGGCUCACCAAGGCAACGAUGCGUAGCCGACCUGAGAGGGUGAUCGGCCACACUGGGACUGAGACACGGCCCAGACGCCUACGGGAGGUAGCAGUAGGGAAUCUUCCGCAAUGGACGAAAGUCUGAAGGAGCAACGCCGCGUGAGUGAUGAAGGCUUUCGGGUCGUAAAACUCUGUUGUUAGGGAAGAACAAGUGCUAGUUGAAUAAGCUGGCACCUUGACGGUACCUAACCAGAAAGCCACGGCUAACUACGUGCCAGCAGCCGCCGUAA